CCGGCUCACAACCUGUGAGUGCUCCUGCAUUGAUUUCCACGCUGCAGUUCCGGAUUGCACACGAUGCACGUGGCUGCUUGGGGGAACAGGAGCAUGAGCUCAUUGUGUUCAUUACCUGAUUAGUUACACAUUCAUUAGUUGUUCUUAAUGGGGAAAUAUUUUGCUGUCGUAGGGGGUUUACAGAGUUAAGCCUGGAGCAAUGAAAAGGGACAAAGAGAACAUGUUGCCUGCAUGCAUGGCUUGAACCAUUGGUGUGGCUUGUUGGGCAGUGGGCUCUGUGGGGGCUGAAAGUCGUGUUUCUGACCCCAAGUGGCAGCUGGGUUCUUCUCUUGCUACUGACAAACUCCUGAAGAUUAGGUUUUCCCAAAUGGAAUCCUCCAAUUGCUGCUAUUACUCCUCAUUUGCAUUUGAGAUGCUUUCUCCAAAACUUCUCUCUGUGUUUCUCUAUGGCUCGGCUCCGCUCCACACACUGCAGUUGUUGAUCCCACACCUUCACCUCUGCUUGGCCACUGGAAACGUGGCUGAGUUGGAGCCAAAUGAAAGCAGCCCCCCACCUGAGCCAGGAAUUAGUGGUGGGCGUGCUGCAGUUUCAUAGACUUGUAAACGUGGCCAUCUGCACCUUGCGACGUUUUGCUUAAAAUCAAACAAGCAAAGCGACCCCCUGCCCACAAAUGAAAUCUUUUUGCAAAAGAACAGAAAAAAAAAAAAGAGGAAAUUUGUAAACUGAUUUACUUGAAACAAAGCACUUCCCACAGAGGUUGGGCACGGCAGCUCGGAAAGCUCUCCGGCUGCAACUUGGAGUGAGCACAUGGUGCUGGAUGGAGAACAGCUCUGUGUGCCCACAGGGGGGGUUUUGCAAGUGGUGACGGGGUCACCCCAGCUCCUCACACCAAGACAACAAGCUCUGCUGGUGUGCUAUGGCACGGAGAUGCCCAGCUGUGCUCCGGCCUUCCCACCCUGCAAUGGGUGUGGGGCUGCCCAGAGCAGCUCACAUUUGCUGAGUUGGAGGAUGCCAUCGAUUCAGACCUGCAAACAAAACACCGCGCAGAAUGAGCGCUGCUGUUCGCGUUCAUCGAUGGCUGCUCAGAGCCUUCAUUGCGAUGCUUCCAAGCACAUUAGAGAUACAUCUAUCUGGCAUGUAAUUAACUCUAAAUGAGAUCAGCGAUGAACACCUAAUGAUGGUUCCACUGAGUUAUUACGCUCAUAAGGAGCAGGAUGAUGUGAAGCUGUUGUCACUGCUGAGAUUUCACCCAGGAGGGCACCAAUAAGGGAGUAAUUGCACUCAGCCUCAAGUUUGCUUUUGCAUGAAAGAAUGAGAAGGAAAGCAGAGCCAAGGAUGGGAAGCAGCACGGAGGAUGGCACAGUUAAUAACCGGAGUCCCAGGGAUGGGGGUUUGGGCAGGGACAGGCAGUGUCUGACACCCCGCAGCUCUGCCUACUUCUAAUAAAAACUGCACAUUUCACAGAUAUUAUUUUUUAAAAUUGAAGCUUUUUAAAAAAUAAUAAUAAUAA
ensembl:lncRNA